ACCAGUGCCCCAGUGGGUAAGGCGUCUGACUUGUAGUCAGAAGAUUACCGGUUCGAGGCCGGCCGUAGGCU